rnacentral:rRNA from 1 species
CGUCCCCUCCUUCUGGAUUCCCGUUCCUGCUAUUGAUUUAGUGGGAACGUCACAGGGAGCCAGUCGUGUAAAAGCGGCUGGUUUCUGGGGCCCAGAUCGUUUACCGUGAAAAAAUUAGAGUGUUCAAAGCGGGCAGAUAUUUUUCCUGCCACCGAAUACAUUAGCAUGGGAUAAUGGAAUAGGACCCUGACCUCCUAUUUUCAGUUGGUUUUGUUUAUACAGCGAGGUUCAUCAGGGUAAUGAUUAAUAGGGAUAGUUGGGGGCAUUAAUAUUUAAUUGUCAGAGGUGAAAUUCUUGGAUUUAUGAAAGAUUAACUUCUGCGAAAGCGUUUGCCAAGGAUGUUUUCAUUAAUCAAGAACGAAAGUUAGGGGAUCGAAGACGAUCAGAUACCGUCGUAGUCUUAACCAUAAACGAUGCCGACCAGCGAUUAGGAGACGUUGAAUACAAAACACCGCUGUUAAUCCUUUCGGGGAUUAAUAGUUGGUGAAUGACUCCCCUAGCAGCUUGUGAGAAGUCA